rnacentral:lncRNA from 1 species
AGAGGCAGGAUUGGGUUCCUCCAGGCAGAUAUGUCAGAAGGACAAUGUGCAGAGUGUAUUGGUGAGAGAUGGACUGAGCCCCCCGGUGAGGCUGCUCAGUGGGGCUCCCUGAUCCACAGAAGACCUGGGGGCUCCAGGAAGGAUGAGGGGACCAAGAAGCGACCUACAUUCUAACCAGGGCAGGCAGCAGAGGUGGCAGGAAGGGGAAGGGCUCUAAGCACCCCUGCUCCUGCACAGAAAUCCACUUGCCUGAGAAGUUGUGGACUAAGGAAAACUAAGGACUUUUCCAGACGAAAACUGGCUGAAGAGACCUGAGAACUUGAUGCAAAGCAUGAUCCCAGAUUGGACCUGGAUUGUGGGGAGACGUAGUUCACAAGGGACUGUUUGGGGCGAUUGGCAACGUGUGAAUAUGGACUAUGGAUUGGAAAACAGCAUUGGAUGAACGUCAAAUUUCCUGAUUUUGCUUGCUGUUCUGUGGCUACAUAAGAGAACAUUCUUGUUCUUAAAAAAUACACACUGACGUAUUUAGGAAGUAUUCAGGAACAUGAUGUCUGCAACUCACUUUUGAAUAGUCCAGGAAAAUACAUACGUAUAUUAAAUAUGACAGGGGAUGGAGAAUGAUAACACAAAAGGGGGAAAAUAUUAACAGUUGGUGAAUCUGGAUAAAGUGUUCCUUGAACAUGAGUUCUUUGAACUAUUCUUGAAACUUUCAUGUAAAUUGGAAAUUAUAUCAAUUUAAAGCUUAAAAAGAAACAAAGGCAAGCCCAGGGUUGGAUUCUGUGGAUCGCAAACUCAGGGUGAGAAUAAACCAAACUUUGUGAGGUAGCAACAGAACCAAUACUGGAUUUGUUUAUUUUUUAAAAGUCAUCAUCUAUGGAAGGUUGACUUAAUGUAUCCUCCAAAUAUUAAUAGUUACUGACAACCACGUGUUUUUGUUUAUGCUAUCAUUUUAACAGAGUUUACGUUACAUAUUGAUUAUUGACCAGAAGCUUCCAGAAUGAGGAUCACCUGGGAGCAAUUUUCCC